rnacentral:tRNA from 6 species
GCCCCCUUAGCUCAGUUGGCCAGAGCACCUGUCUUGUAAACAGGGGGUCGCCGGUUCGAAUCCGGCAGGGGGCUCCA